rnacentral:rRNA from 1 species
AGAGAUCCUACGGGAGGCAGCAGUGGGGAAUAUUGCACAAUGGGCGCAAGCCUGAUGCAGUAACGCCGCGUGAGGGAUGACGGCCUUCGGGUUGUAAACCUCUUUUAGCGGGGAAGAAGCGAAAGUGACGGUACCUGCAGAAAAAGCGCCGGCUAACUACGUGCCAGCAGCCGCGGUAAUAAUCG